rnacentral:rRNA from 1 species
GAUCCUGGCUUAGGACGAACGCUGGCGGCGUGCCUAACACAUGCAAGUCGAACGGACGAGGGGAGCUUGCUCCCCAAGUUAGUGGCGGACGGGUGAGUAACACGUGAGCAACCUGCCCUUCGGAGGGGACAACAGCGGGAAACUGCUGCUAAUACCGCAUAAUGUAUCCUGGAGGCAUCUCCGGGAUACCAAAGAUUUUAUCGCCGAAGGAUGGGCUCGCGUCUGAUUAGAUAGUUGGUGGGGCAACGGCCCACCAAGUCUGCGAUCAGUAGCCGGACUGAGAGGUUGAACGGCCACAUUGGGACUGAGAUACGGCCCAGACUCCUACGGGAGGCAGCAGGUGGGGAAUAUUGGGCAAGUGGGGGCAACCCUGACCCAGCAACGCCGCGUGGAGGAAGAAGGCUUUCGGGUUGUAAACUCCUUUGACGAGGGACGAUGAUGACGGUACCUACGAAAACAAGCCACGGCUAACUACGUGCCAGCAGCCGC